rnacentral:rRNA from 1 species
GACGAACGCUGGCGGCGUGCUUAACACAUGCAAGUCGAACGGAAAGGCCUCAGCUUGCUGGGGUACUCGAGUGGCGAGCGGGUGAGUAACACGUGGGUGAUCUGCCUUGCACUCUGGGAUAAGCUUGGGAAACUGGGUCUAAUACCGGAUAUGAACUGCCUUUAGUGUGGUGGUUGGAAAGUUUUUUCGGUGCAAGAUGAGCUCGCGGCCUAUCAGCUUGUUGGUGGGGUAAUGGCCUACCAAGGCGUCGACGGGUAGCCGGCCUGAGAGGGUGUACGGCCACAUUGGGACUGAGAUACGGCCCAGACUCCUACGGGAGGCAGCAGUGGGGAAUAUUGCACAAUGGGCGGAAGCCUGAUGCAGCGACGCCGCGUGGGGGAUGACGGCCUUCGGGUUGUAAACUCCUUUCGACAGGGACGAAGCUUUUUGUGACGGUACCUGUAUAAGAAGCACCGGCUAACUACGUG